AUGGCCAUUGGAGACGGCAGGACAACCCUGUUCUGGGAGGAUCGCUGGCUUGGCGGCCAAUCCGUCCACGAGCUCGCGCCCAUGCUUCUCAAGUGCAUCCCCAAGCAACGCCAAAAAUCGAGAACGGUGGCGGAGGCCCUGGCCGGCAACAGCUGGGCGCGUGGCAUCCAUGGUCUGCUCGGCCUCCCAGAGAUUGGACAGUACCUUAAGCUCUGGCACUUAGUGCAGCAUGUCGAGUUGUCCAAUGAGCCGGACAGGCUGCUCUGGAGCUGGACAGCCAACGGCGUCUACACCGCCCAGUCUUGCUACCGGGCAACUUUCCAGGGUGCGACGGGCUGCCACUCCUGGAAGCUCAUUUGGAGGAGCUGGGCACCGCCCAAGGUGAAGUUCUUCCACUGGCUGGCAUGUCAAGAUCGCUGCUGA
rnacentral:rRNA from 1 species